rnacentral:rRNA from 1 species
UACGAAGGGGGCUAGCGUUGCUCGGAAUCACUGGGCGUAAAGCGCACGUAGGCGGAUUGCUAAGUCAGGGGUGAAAUCCUGGAGCUCAACUCCAGAACUGCCCUUGAUACUGGCGGUCUCGAGUCCGGGAGAGGUGAGUGGAACUGCGAGUGUAGAGGUGAAAUUCGUAGAUAUUCGCAAGAACACCAGUGGCGAAGGCGGCGCACUGGCCCGAUACUGACGCUGAGGCACGAAAGCGUGGGGAGCAAACAGG